UUUGAAUUCUUAGAAAUAAAACAAUUAUAAAAGGUCUGAAUUGAAAGUAUCUUAGAGAUAAAAGAAAAAAUCAAUUACCUUUCUUAAAGACAGGAAUUAUGGAUGGUCCUCCAUUUUUCUCCAGACUGAAAGGAAAACACUUUUAUCACAAAAACUAGAAAUAUAUAAAAACUUAGUAUACCCAGGUACCAUAUUCAGUGCCUAGGGGUCUAAUUUAUACGUGUUACCUGUACUAACUAUGCAUGUUACCUGUAAGUAUUUUAUAGUCCAUCAGUCAUUUAUUCACUUACCACCCAAAACGUGGAAGAUUCAGUAU
rnacentral:lncRNA from 1 species